UACGGAGGGUGCAAGCGUUAUCCGGAUUCACUGGGUUUAAAGGGUGCGUAGGUUGAUAGGUAAGUCAGUGGUGAAAUACUCCGACUCAAUCGGAGAACUGCCGUUGAUACUAUCUAUCUUGAAUACGGUGGAGGCGGGCGGAAUGCGUCAUGUAGUGGUGAAAUACUUAGAUAUGACGCAGAACACCUAUUGCGAAGGCAGCUCGCUACACCGGCAUUGACACUGGAGGCACGGAAAGCGUGGGGAUCAAACAGG
rnacentral:rRNA from 1 species